rnacentral:lncRNA from 1 species
UUCAGCCUUCAUCUCUGGAAUCACCUGGGGGGGCCUGACCGAAAUGCGGUGUCCUGGGGCCCGGAGAGUUCUCGUGGAAGAGUCAGCCACGUGGACUGGGCCUCAGUCAGGAGCACCCUGAGGAGCAGUCACCGACUGGAACCACUUGACCGGAAGUACCCGAUCUCGAAAUCUAACUGAAACACAGAAGCCAUUUUGUGAACAUUCCCAGCGUUGGUUCAGCCUCAGUGAUGCCUCAGGCAUGCGCAGAAAAGCCUCGCUUCUGUUAACUCAGUAAAGUCCUUCUAAUCAUC